rnacentral:rRNA from 1 species
AUUGAACGCUGGCGGCAUGCCUUACACAUGCAAGUCGAACGGCAGCACGGGUGCUUGCACCUGGUGGCGAGUGGCGAACGGGUGAGUAAUACAUCGGAACAUGUCCUGUAGUGGGGGAUAGCCCGGCGAAAGCCGGAUUAAUACCGCAUACGAUCUACGGAUUAAAGCGGGGGACCUUCGGGCCUCGCGCUAUAGGGUUGGCCGAUGGCUGAUUAGCUAGUUGGUGGGGUAGAGGCCUACCAAGGCGACGAUCAGUAGCUGGUCUGAGAGGACGACCAGGCACACUGGGACUGAGAAACGGCCCAGACUCCUACGGGAGGCAGCAGUGGGGAAUUUUAGGCGAGGGGGGAGAGCCUGAUCCAGCAAUGCCGCGUGUGUGAAGAAGGCCUUCGGGUUGUAAAGCACUUAUGUCCGGAAAGAAAUCCUUGGCCCUAGUACGGUCGGAGGAUGACGGUACCGGAAGAAUAAGCACCGGCUAACUACGUG